AGAGUUUGAUCAUGGCUCAGGAUAAACGCUAGCGGCAGGCCUUACACAUGCAAGUCGAGGGGUAGAAUGUCUUCGGAUAUUUGAGACCGGCGCACGGGUGCGUAACACGUAUGCAACCUGCCUUUUACUAGGGAAUAGCCCGAAGAAAUUCGGAUUAAUGCCCCAUAUGCUCGCACAAUCGCAUGAUUGAGCGAGGAAAGCUCCGGCGGUAAAAGAUGGGCAUGCGUCCU
rnacentral:rRNA from 1 species